CAUUUUGCUUCACAAGCUUGACAACAAGARUCUAAAAACAAUAGUUAUAUUUUACCAAUAAUAAGACAUUAUCGUUUUAGGAAUUGAAUUUUAUGAUGGCUUCAAGCAACGUAAAGGCUCGAUGUUCAAAAUGCGAUGAAAUUCAACGAUUAUACCUCGCAGUUCUUGAAGACAAACAAGCCAUUCUCGUCAGACUUCAAGAGGAGCAAGAACGUGUUAAAAAGCUUUCUAAGGAAAUUGAACCCACUGAAAGAAAGAGAAGACAAGAAGGAGAAAGAACAAGAACGGAAGAGAGUACAAAUAUCAGUAUGGCAAUGGCAGUAAAUAGAAAAUGGAAAGAAGAAUAUGAACAAUUAAGAGAGAAAUAUAAAACAGACUUUAGAAAGCUUCAAGAGGAAAUCAGUUCUCUCAAUCACAAACUAGAGGAAUCUAAUAUACAUGUAUUGACACUUGAAGCUGAAAACAUGAGACUUGCACAGGCAUUAUCUGGAGAAGAUGUCAGUACAGGAACAAAAAGAAAUAAUGAAGAGAAUGAACUUAUUAAAGCUCAAAUGCAAGCAUACAAAGAUGAUUUCUCAUUUGAAAGAAGAGAUAGAGAAAAAGCCCAGAGUGAAAAAGAAAGUAUUCAAGAGGAAUUGAAAAGUGCACAGGAGAUCAUUGCAACAUUAGUGAAAGAGAUUGAAGUGUUCAAAGUAGAGCACAAGAAAGAUCAAGAGCAAAUGAGACAGAUUAUCAAUCAACAAAACUUGGCUCGACCACAGCUUCAAAUAAUCUAUCCAGUUGUUGAUCCAAGUGAACACGAACAACAUACACAGUGGAGAAGACAACAACAGAGAAGGGUGCCAUAGUACACAAUUAUUUGGUGCACUGUACGUUAUGUGAUUUAUGGAGUACCAGUACACUGUUAGAGCUCUUUCAUGCCGUACACCACUGUGCACAGAAUGUCAUUGUGUCUUUUGGUGCCACUUCUCAGUGAGUCUUCUAACAAUGAUUAUAAAAUGGGUAUAUUAUCAAGAGGAAGUCAUAUAGCACCACCUAGUGCAUUUUAUGGAGGUGAUGUAGAGGUUGAUCAGGCAGAUGGUCCCAAGAGUGAACACAAUUAGUGUGGGAGAAUCAUUUAAAUAUGAUAUACACCUAUUUCAAGAAAACAUUGUCACCACCAAAGGUGAUAGGCGAUAGGUCAUUCUGACAUGGAAAUGGUCUCGUUGAAUAAAAACAAUAUUGAAUCAGUUUCAAUGCUAAGGUCCAUAUUCUUGACAAUAAUGAGAGUCAUUCCAGCUAUUUCUGGAUCUUGGAAAGGACUUGUCUCCUAUUGCUUUUCACCUAUUGCCUAUCACCUUUGGCUGUGACAACCUUUUUUGAUAUAGAUAUAUAUUUUGAUGUUAAUGGAAUGCAUGCAUAGUUCCUAAAGCAGUUUUGAAUCUCCAGCCACCAUUGAGGCAUCUUUCAAAUAUGGUGAAAUCUAGUUUUAAUGGAAGUGUAAUCAGUCUGAAGUAUAUGUAAUAAGACUGAAAAGAAGAGUUAAAAGUCUACAAAGACAUCUAGAUAUCUCAAUAUGUUAUUUGUCAAUUGGAAUAUAGUAUAAACAUCGAUAUUUCAAUUGCCAAACCAUUAAGAAAUAAUGGAAUGCAUAUUACUAUAGUACAAAGCAUAUUUAUUGUUUAAAAUAUAUAGCCUUCAACAAAUACUAUAACUACAAAGAUUAGAAAAACAAACAUUAAAGCAAUUAAGAGAUAUAGUUGUUUUGAUUAUAGUAAGUUGUUUUUGUAAGGUAUAAAUCCCUAACUUGUAUUCUUUUAUACGUACGCCAUAAUGACAAUUACAUAUUCAGUGGAAACGAAACAAAAACAACUUACUAUGAUUACAAAAUCUUUUGAAGUCUCGGCUAAAACAAUUUCAGAAAGUUGUUCUGAUUCAUCAAACAAAAUAAGACAUUUGCAUGAUGGCAUCAUUUGACUCCCACUACCUAAUGCUUUGCGAAUUUUCUUUCUUUUUUAAAUUUGUAUUCCGUCAUGAGAAUAGUAAGACAAUAAUAAUGAAUUGGUUAUUGGUGCUCAUUAAUUGAACAAAAGAAAGUGUGCAAGGGAGUCUGACGUCAUGACGCCAUCAUGCAAACAUCCUAUUUGAAUGUUUAGAACAUUUUUAUUAAAAUUAGUAAUAUUAUGUAAAGGAUCAAACACUAGGGCAAGGGCAUUCUUAAGAAUAAAGGCCGAGACUGAGGCCUUUAUUUUWAAAAAUGCCUUGCCCGUGUGUUUGAUAGGAUUUAAUAACCAGCCCCAAUCCGUAAUUUAGGAACAAUGGAUUUCAUAUUGAUUUGAUAUGAAUGUCCCCUCCACAGGUCUAUAUUUUUGAAAUAUAGACCUGUACCGAGACAUUAUUGAGGAAAACAACUGCAUUACACAAUGGGAUCGGUUGUGGCUGGUUGUUAAAUAUCGUUUAUAUUGUAUAUAUUAUACACAAAGUUUAGAACUGUGUUAUCUUGGACAUUGCCACUUCAUAAAUAAUGUGGAUGGAUCAAAAAAUAUCCAUAAAUCCGAAGGUUGCUAUAAUUUGAUAUAUUAUAUUUUCUUUAAUUUAUUUAACAACAACUCCUUAUAAUAAGUACUAUAAUGCAUGCACUAUAUAUAAGUAAGUAAAUAACAAAGAGGAAAUUUAUUACACACAAGUAUCUAAGGAAUAAAACCCUUAUGGAACAGAAAAGACUGUGGCAGGUUACGUUACAGCCAUACUAUUAUGAAAUAAAAAUAAAARUAUAAUAAUGAUAAUAAUAAUAAUAAUGACUUUAUUUAACGAGGUUAAACACAUUACAGUCAGAGACUAAUAAACUUGUGGACUGCCCAGGUCGCAACUUAAAUUAGUGCUAAAUUAUGCAAAUAUUGUCUUCUAUGGUUUAGAGUGAUUGCACUUGGCCAGUGAUACAAAGUUAUAGCUGACUUGUCAGAGCCUCGCUCUAUAAUUAGGACUAUUUAGUAUAGUGCAAAGUGUUGCAUACUUAGUGUAAAAUUUACUUUGAUUUUAGUAAAACCAUAUAUUUUUUCUCAA